CUUGAGGUAUUUUGGGCUGGAUUUAUUUAUAUAUACAACAACGUCUUCCCCACGUCACCUCAAGCUGGUUUUCCGAAUGUAUCUCGUCCUCAAAUAAUCUCUCCAGACCGAUUGUUCAGCAUGACUGGGAUUUGAAUGUGUAUGUUUCAGCAUAGACAUGUUAUAUGUAACAGUAUUAGAUUUUUUGAAUUUUUUCUUUUUCUUUUUAUUAUAUUUUUAAUACUCCGUACUACAGUAUUAUUACAGUAUUACAUUGAAUUUUGUGAUGUGAAAGAAUCUUGUGACUUUGCAGUAAAAAUUAGAUAUUAAGGUUCCGUUUAAUGUGUUUAUAUACAAAUUAAUUCGAUGAUGUGAAUUGCAUUAGUGGUGGUUGCAUUUGAAACAAUUGUUAAGGAUUCAAUCUUUAACCAGUUCAAACAUCGCUCUUUUCAAUAUCACAAUUUUGAAAUAACAUUUCUAAGAAAUCAUUUGUGCUCACGUUUCUAUCACGUUGUUAUCUGUCAAAUCAAAUGACUUGAUUUCAUUAUAUCAGUUAUGUUUAUUGAAAUAUCCUAAUGUAUAAAAGAAAUUCGAAAUCAU
rnacentral:misc_RNA from 1 species